rnacentral:rRNA from 1 species
UACGGAGGAGGCGAGCGUUUUUCGGAAUUACUGGGCUUAAAGCGCGUGUAGGCGGACCGGAAAGUGCUUUGUGAAAUCCCCCGGCUCAACCGGGGAACGGCUGGGCAUACUCCCGGUCUUGAGGCAGGUAGGGGCGUGUGGAACUCUAGGUGGAGCGGUGAAAUGCGUAGAUAUCUAGAGGAACGCCGGUGGCGAAAGCGACACGCUGGGCCUGAUCUGACGCUGAGACGCGAAAGCGUAGGGAGCAAACGGG